AUACUUACCUGGCAGGGGAGCACCAUGAUCACUAGGUGUUCUCCCAGGGUGAGGCUCAUCAUUGUACGGCGAUUCCCAAAUGCAGGAAACUCGACUGCAUAACUUUGCUACCUACCACUGUGACACAGUUUGUAG
rnacentral:snRNA from 1 species